UACGUAGGGCGCAAGCGUUAUCCGGAAUUACUGGGCGUAAAGCGUGCGCAGGCGGUUAUGUAAGACAGUUGUGAAAUCCCCGGGCUCAACCUGGGAACUGCAUCUGUGACUGCAUAGCUAGAGUGCGGUAGGGGAGAUUGGAAUUCCUGGUGUAGCGGUGGAAUGCGCAGAUAUCAGGAGGAACACCGAUGGCGAAGGCAGAUCUCUGGGCCGUAACUGACGCUGAGGAGCGAAAGCAUGGGGGAGCGAACAGG
rnacentral:rRNA from 1 species